rnacentral:rRNA from 1 species
ACGAACGCUGGCGGCGUGCUUAACACAUGCAAGUCGAACGGUGAAGGGACCAGCUUGCUGGUUCUGGAUGAGUGGCGAACGGGUGAGUAACACGUGAGUAACCUGCCCCCUUCUUCUGGAUAACCGCAUGAAAGUGUGGCUAAUACGGGAUAUUCUGGGUCUGUCGCAUGGCGGGCCCGGGAAAGAUAUUGCUUCGGUGGGGGAUGGGCUCGCGGCCUAUCAGCUUGUUGGUGGGGUGAUGGCCUACCAAGGCGGUGACGGGUAGCCGGCCUGAGAGGGUGGACGGUCACACUGGGACUGAGACACGGCCCAGAAUCCUACGGGAGGCAGCAGUGGGGAAUAUUGCACAAUGGGCGCAAGCCUGAUGCAGCGACGCCGCGUGAGGGAUGGAGGCCUUCGGGUUGUAAACCUCUUUCGCCAGUGAAGCAGGCCUGCUCCUUGUGGGUGGGUUGACGGUAGCUGGAUAAGAAGCGCCGGCUAACUACGUG